GAGUCUGAUCAUGGCUCAGAUUGAACGCUGGCGGCAGGCCUAACACAUGCAAGUCGAACGGUAACAGGAAACAGCUUGCUGUUUCGCUGACGAGUGGCGGACGGGUGAGUAAUGUCUGGGAAACUGCCUGAUGGAGGGGGAUAACUACUGGAAACGGUAGCUAAUACCGCAUAACGUCGCAAGACCAAAGAGGGGGACCUUCGGGCCUCUUGCCAUCAGAUGUGCCCAGAUGGGAUUAGCUAGUAGGUGGGGUAACGGCUCACCUAGGCGACGAUCCCUAGCUGGUCUGAGAGGAUGACCAGCCACACUGGAACUGAGACACGGUCCAGACUCCUACGGGAGGCAGCAGUGGGGAAUAUUGCACAAUGGGCGCAAGCCUGAUGCAGCCAUGCCGCGUGUAUGAAGAAGGCCUUCGGGUUGUAAAGUACUUUCAGCGGGGAGGAAGGGAGUAAAGUUAAUACCUUUGCUCAUUGACGUUACCCGCAGAAGAAGCACCGGCUAACUCCGUGCCAGCAGCCGCGGUAAUACGGAGGGUGCAAGCGUUAAUCGGAAUUACUGGCGUAAAGCGCACGCAGGCGGUUUGUUAAGUCAGAUGUGAAAUCCCCGGGCUCAACCUGGGAACUGCAUCUGAUACUGGCAAGCUUGAGUCUCGUAGAGGGGGGUAGAAUUCCAGGUGUAGCGGUGAAAUGCGUAGAGAUCUGGAGGAAUACCGGUGGCGAAGGCGGCCCCCUGGACGAAGACUGACGCUCAGGUGCGAAAGCGUGGGGAGCAAACAGGAUUAGAUACCCUGGUAGUCCACGCCGUAAACGAUGUCGACUUGGAGGUUGUGCCCUUGAGGCGUGGCUUCCGGAGCUAACGCGUUAAGUCGACCGCCUGGGGAGUACGGCCGCAAGGUUAAAACUCAAAUGAAUUGACGGGGGCCCGCACAAGCGGUGGAGCAUGUGGUUUAAUUCGAUGCAACGCGAAGAACCUUACCUGGUCUUGACAUCCACGGAAGUUUUCAGAGAUGAGAAUGUGCCUUCGGGAACCGUGAGACAGGUGCUGCAUGGCUGUCGUCAGCUCGUGUUGUGAAAUGUUGGGUUAAGUCCCGCAACGAGCGCAACCCUUAUCCUUUGUUGCCAGCGGUCCGGCCGGGAACUCAAAGGAGACUGCCAGUGAUAAACUGGAGGAAGGUGGGGAUGACGUCAAGUCAUCAUGGCCCUUACGACCAGGGCUACACACGUGCUACAAUGGCGCAUACAAAGAGAAGCGACCUCGCGAGAGCAAGCGGACCUCAUAAAGUGCGUCGUAGUCCGGAUUGGAGUCUGCAACUCGACUCCAUGAAGUCGGAAUCGCUAGUAAUCGUGGAUCAGAAUGCCACGGUGAAUACGUUCCCGGGCCUUGUACACACCGCCCGUCACACCAUGGGAGUGGGUUGCAAAAGAAGUAGGUAGCUUAACCUUCGGUAGGGCGCUUACCACUUUGUGAUUCAUGACUGGGGUGAAGUCGUAACAAGGUAACCGUAGGGGAACCUGCGGUUG
rnacentral:rRNA from 1 species